UUCAUUUCUCUCUCUUAUUUUAAGAUAGAGGCAGAAUAUCAAAAAUGCUGUGGUCAGAUGAAGACAAAAUUGCAGGUUGAACUCAUGCCAAACAGCUCAAAGGUUUGGAGGGAGCGUAAUGUGGACUAUGACCCAAAGAAGACCAUCCCCACAGUCACACAGAGAUGGAAGCAGCUUAACAGCACAAAAAUGACUCAAAACAUACUGGCAAGAUGCUGAACAUCACCAUGAAGCUGUUGACUGCAUCUGCACUUCUUUGUGCAAUGAUGACUCUGACCACUGCUGCUGAUGAAGAUCACAGCAGUGAGGAAGAGGGAUCAGUUUCACCAGAGAUACUGUCAGUCCAAGAAUGCAAACCUGGCAUCUGUACGCAACCUUGGAAAGUACUGGGCGAUUCAGAGGGUCAUAUACCGUGCUGCCCGUUAACACGUACCGACAUGGAUUGGAGGCUCUGAUGCUCAACAGGAUGCAGGUGUAUGAAUGACAAACCCUGUAACUACCGAUACCCAUUUGUCUGCAUCAGGAAAAGAAGAUAAUUCCUUGUCUGACAUGAAGCCAUAGUUCACCAAACAAAGAAGCAAAUAAUCUCAAUUACCCCAGAAGAAUCUGUUUUAUAUCUUUACUUCUUUUCUUUUGCUGUAAUGCUACAUAAGGAAUGAAUCAGCAAGCGACGUAACCUGGAGCUGGAUUGUCUCUUUUAAUAGCAUCAAACUGAACGUGUAAUGGAAAGAAUGCUUUUAGGAAAACGUUGUCCCUGCAUGAACUCUUCUUUCUCACCUUCAUCAUUAAACU